rnacentral:piRNA from 1 species
UGAAGUUUAAUUCUUUUGUUGUGCUAACU